AGCACCUGGUCUCACCGUUGUUCUACAGCACAGCAGGCCAGGCUGGAUUGGAGAGUCACCUUCAAGAGCCAUGAUCACUUCACGAGGACCUCUGCUGGUGUCUCCUCUGCUGUCCUGGAGGUCCCAGAGGACAGGAGCUGUGUCCUGUGACCUGCUGACCGCAACGCGUAGCACCUGGAAGGUGUUCAUAGGAUAGUUCCUCAAAUGAGUCAAUGGACAGUGAAUGGGGAAUGGAGUGGACGGUGGACGGGAGGGCAAGUUGUUUCCAUGAAAGGAGGAAAUUCCUGUGGAGGGAGUGGACAAGGCAUGCCUGUUUGAGCCACGCGCAGAUGAGAACACCUAUGCUGCAUGAGUCAGAAGCAAGUAUCAGAAGAUGAUGGAUCUCAUUACUUAGAGAAAAGAAGGCCUCAAACCCAUUGCACAUGGGUAGGGAGGAUGAAAAGAAACACCCACAGAGUUAAGCCACAACACUGGGAAAACUGAUGGAUUUGUGAACAUGGGAGAUGAACUUGACAAAGACUCCAGAUGCACCAGGAGUGGGAUAUGAAUGGGAAGGAUGGCCCUCCAGACAGCUGGCAGAGGACUUCCCCUUUAGGGCAAAACACAUGGUUGAAAUUUACCAGCUAAGAUCCCAAAGGGGAGUGAAGAAGCCGGCUGGGGUUGGAGAGCACCCUCUUCUGAA